rnacentral:rRNA from 3 species
GGGUUGUGAGGUUAAGCGACUAAGCGUACACGGUGGAUGCCCUGGCAGUCAGAGGCGAUGAAGGACGUGCUAAUCUGCGAUAAGCGUCGGUAAGGUGAUAUGAACCGUUAUAACCGGCGAUUUCCGAAUGGGGAAACCCAGUGUGUUUCGACACACUAUCAUUAACUGAAUCCAUAGGUUAAUGAGGCGAACCGGGGGAACUGAAACAUCUAAGUACCCCGAGGAAAAGAAAUCAACCGAGAUUCCCCCAGUAGCGGCGAGCGAACGGGGAGCAGCCCAGAGCCUGAAUCAGUGUGUGUGUUAGUGGAAGCGUCUGGAAAGGCGCGCGAUACAGGGUGACAGCCCCGUACACAAAAAUGCACAUAUUGUGAGCUCGAUGAGUAGGGCGGGACACGUGGUAUCCUGUCUGAAUAUGGGGGGACCAUCCUCCAAGGCUAAAUACUCCUGACUGACCGAUAGUGAACCAGUACCGUGAGGGAAAGGCGAAAAGAACCCCGGCGAGGGGAGUGAAAAAGAACCUGAAACCGUGUACGUACAAGCAGUGGGAGCCUCUUUUAUGGGGUGACUGCGUACCUUUUGUAUAAUGGGUCAGCGACUUAUAUUCUGUAGCAAGGUUAACCGAAUAGGGGAGCCGAAGGGAAACCGAGUCUUAACUGGGCGUUAAGUUGCAGGGUAUAGACCCGAAACCCGGUGAUCUAGCCAUGGGCAGGUUGAAGGUUGGGUAACACUAACUGGAGGACCGAACCGACUAAUGUUGAAAAAUUAGCGGAUGACUUGUGGCUGGGGGUGAAAGGCCAAUCAAACCGGGAGAUAGCUGGUUCUCCCCGAAAGCUAUUUAGGUAGCGCCUCGUGAAUUCAUCUCCGGGGGUAGAGCACUGUUUCGGCAAGGGGGUCAUCCCGACUUACCAACCCGAUGCAAACUGCGAAUACCGGAGAAUGUUAUCACGGGAGACACACGGCGGGUGCUAACGUCCGUCGUGAAGAGGGAAACAACCCAGACCGCCAGCUAAGGUCCCAAAGUCAUGGUUAAGUGGGAAACGAUGUGGGAAGGCCCAGACAGCCAGGAUGUUGGCUUAGAAGCAGCCAUCAUUUAAAGAAAGCGUAAUAGCUCACUGGUCGAGUCGGCCUGCGCGGAAGAUGUAACGGGGCUAAACCAUGCACCGAAGCUGCGGCAGCGACACUGUGUGUUGUUGGGUAGGGGAGCGUUCUGUAAGCCUGUGAAGGUGUGCUGUGAGGUAUGCUGGAGGUAUCAGAAGUGCGAAUGCUGACAUAAGUAACGAUAAAGCGGGUGAAAAGCCCGCUCGCCGGAAGACCAAGGGUUCCUGUCCAACGUUAAUCGGGGCAGGGUGAGUCGACCCCUAAGGCGAGGCCGAAAGGCGUAGUCGAUGGGAAACAGGUUAAUAUUCCUGUACUUGGUGUUACUGCGAAGGGGGGACGGAGAAGGCUAUGUUGGCCGGGCGACGGUUGUCCCGGUUUAAGCGUGUAGGCUGGUUUUCCAGGCAAAUCCGGAAAAUCAAGGCUGAGGCGUGAUGACGAGGCACUACGGUGCUGAAGCAACAAAUGCCCUGCUUCCAGGAAAAGCCUCUAAGCAUCAGGUAACAUCAAAUCGUACCCCAAACCGACACAGGUGGUCAGGUAGAGAAUACCAAGGCGCUUGAGAGAACUCGGGUGAAGGAACUAGGCAAAAUGGUGCCGUAACUUCGGGAGAAGGCACGCUGAUAUGUAGGUGAAGCGACUUGCUCGUGGAGCUGAAAUCAGUCGAAGAUACCAGCUGGCUGCAACUGUUUAUUAAAAACACAGCACUGUGCAAACACGAAAGUGGACGUAUACGGUGUGACGCCUGCCCGGUGCCGGAAGGUUAAUUGAUGGGGUCAGCGCAAGCGAAGCUCUUGAUCGAAGCCCCGGUAAACGGCGGCCGUAACUAUAACGGUCCUAAGGUAGCGAAAUUCCUUGUCGGGUAAGUUCCGACCUGCACGAAUGGCGUAAUGAUGGCCAGGCUGUCUCCACCCGAGACUCAGUGAAAUUGAACUCGCUGUGAAGAUGCAGUGUACCCGCGGCAAGACGGAAAGACCCCGUGAACCUUUACUAUAGCUUGACACUGAACAUUGAGCCUUGAUGUGUAGGAUAGGUGGGAGGCUUUGAAGUGUGGACGCCAGUCUGCAUGGAGCCGACCUUGAAAUACCACCCUUUAAUGUUUGAUGUUCUAACGUUGACCCGUGAUCCGGGUUGCGGACAGUGUCUGGUGGGUAGUUUGACUGGGGCGGUCUCCUCCUAAAGAGUAACGGAGGAGCACGAAGGUUGGCUAAUCCUGGUCGGACAUCAGGAGGUUAGUGCAAUGGCAUAAGCCAGCUUGACUGCGAGCGUGACGGCGCGAGCAGGUGCGAAAGCAGGUCAUAGUGAUCCGGUGGUUCUGAAUGGAAGGGCCAUCGCUCAACGGAUAAAAGGUACUCCGGGGAUAACAGGCUGAUACCGCCCAAGAGUUCAUAUCGACGGCGGUGUUUGGCACCUCGAUGUCGGCUCAUCACAUCCUGGGGCUGAAGUAGGUCCCAAGGGUAUGGCUGUUCGCCAUUUAAAGUGGUACGCGAGCUGGGUUUAGAACGUCGUGAGACAGUUCGGUCCCUAUCUGCCGUGGGCGCUGGAGAACUGAGGGGGGCUGCUCCUAGUACGAGAGGACCGGAGUGGACGCAUCACUGGUGUUCGGGUUGUCAUGCCAAUGGCACUGCCCGGUAGCUAAAUGCGGAAGAGAUAAGUGCUGAAAGCAUCUAAGCACGAAACUUGCCCCGAGAUGAGUUCUCCCUGACCCUUUAAGGGUCCUGAAGGAACGUUGAAGACGACGACGUUGAUAGGCCGGGUGUGUAAGCGCAGCGAUGCGUUGAGCUAACCGGUACUAAUGAACCGUGAGGCUUAACCUUACAACGCCGAAG